rnacentral:miRNA from 1 species
UGGACACACAAAUGAACGGUUG